GAUGAAGAACGCAGCGAAAUGCGAUAAGUAAUGUGAAUUGCAGAAUUCAGCGAAUCAUCGAGUCUUUGAACGCACAUUGCGCCCCCUGGUAUUCCGGGGGGCAUGCCUGUCCGAGCGUCAUUGCUGCCCUCAAGCACGGCUUGUGUGUUGGGCCGCCGUCCCCGGUUUCCCCCGGGGACGGGCCCGAAAGGCAGCGGCGGCACCGCGUCCGAUCCUCGAGCGUAUGGGGCUUUGUCACCCGCUCUGUAGGCCCGGCCGGCGCCAGCCGACACCCAACUUUAUUUCUAAGGUUGACCUCGGAUCAGGUAGGGAUACCCGCUGAACUUAAGCAUAUCAAUAAGCGGAGGA
rnacentral:misc_RNA from 1 species